AUUGAACGCUGGCGGCAGGCUUAACACAUGCAAGUCGAGCGAGCGGCGGACGGGUGAGUAAUGUCUGGGAAACUGCCUGGUAGCGGGGGAUAACUACUGGAAAGGGUAGCUAAUACCGCAUACUAUCAGAUGGGCCGAGAUGGGAUUAGCUAGUAGGUGGGGUAAUGGCUCACCUAGGCGACGAUCCCUAGCUGGUUUGAGAGGAUGACCAGCCACACUGGAACUGAGACACGGUCCAGAUUCCUACGGGAGGCAGCAGUGGGGAAUAUUGCACAAUGGGCGCAACCCUGAUGCAGCCAUUCCGCGUGUGUGAAGAAGGCCUUCGGGUUGUAAAGCACUUUCAGCGAGGAGGCGUUACUCGCAGAAGAAGCACCGGCUAACUCCGUGCCAGCAGCCGCGGUAAUAC
rnacentral:rRNA from 1 species